AAACUGGCUGUGAAAAGAAGAGUAAACGGUACGCUGUGUGAAAGAGAGCCUGAACGGUAUUUUUUACCUAGCUGAAAAAAGGUACAGAAGCACCCGUUGAACAUGGUCUUGGAGCUGCGCACCGAAAGAAUUACUUCUUUAGGCUGCGACGAGGGCGCCCGUUAAAGCGCAACGGUACUUUCUUUUGUACCUACUAAGGUCUUUUUUGCGAAAAAAAGACAAAUUAAGGUGGUAACACGGUGAAUAUCCGUCCUUUGU
rnacentral:ncRNA from 1 species